AGCUCAGCCCCGCCCACUUCACCCCGGAGAGUCGAGCUGAAAUGCAGAAUGUUUGCCGUGUUGAAUCCCCAAAACUGUUCCCACUUUGGCAGAAGGCUGUGUGUUCAUGUGGCCUGCUGUAAACUCACAGUCAGGUCGGUUGGCGUCCCGAGGCGUCAGUUUGUGACGAGUUGGGAAUGUGACUUAAAAAGAGGUACCUCUAAAAUGUAUUGUUGAAUAUGCAGCCUAGCAGCAUCCACAGUUCACAGUUCAUUCAUUGUUCAUGUUCAUCCUUGAAAACAUCCAUGUUUCAUACGUAAUCUGUGAUGGAUAUCUUCAUCCCCUUUAUUCAGUGCUCAUGGACCCUGCCACUUGGAUAUGCAUACAUCUGAAGCAAUAGUCUGAUGUUUAGGGGAACAGGUUUAUUCACUUUGCUGAGAUUUGGAAGAGACGAAUGAGAACACGUUAAUGUCUGUAGGUCUACAGUAAGCAGUAAGUUAGCACAGCUUAGUUUAGUGUAAAUGUAACAGCACAAACUGUCAUUUUUACACUUUGUGCUACAUUUUGUCAAUAAAAAAUAAAUAAAUUCA